rnacentral:rRNA from 1 species
GUGCAGCAGUCGAGAAUACUUUACAAUGUGCGAAAGCACGAUAAGGGAACUCUGAGUGCCUCCUAAGGAGACUGUUCAGGUGUCUAAAAGCACCUGGAGUAAGGGCUGGGUAAGACCGGUGCCAGCCGCCGCGGUAACACCGGCAGCCCAGGUGGUAGCCACUUUUAUUGGGUCUAAAGCGUCCGUAGCCGGUUGAGUAAGUUCCUUGGGAAAUUUGGCUGCUCAACAGUCAAGCUUCCAGGGAAUACUGCUCGACUUGGGGACUGGGAGAGGUCAGAGGUACUCCAGGGGUAGGGUGAAAAUCCAUUAAUCCCUGGGGGACCACCGGUAGCGAAGGCGUCUGACCAGACCAGGUCCGACGGUGAGGGACGAAGGCUAGGGUCGCGAACCGGAUUAGAUACCCGUGUAGU